GGUCAAGUUAUUAAGGGUGCAGGGCGGAUGCCUUGGCACUAGGAGCCGAUGAAGGACGUGAUAAGCUGCGAUAAGCUUCGGGGAGUUGCACGUAAACUUUGAUCCGAAGAUUUCCGAAUGAGGAAACUCACUUAGAGUAAUGUCUAAGUAUCAUUAAGUGAAUACAUAGCUUAAUGAGGGGAACUCAGGGAACUGAAACAUCUAAGUACCUGAAGGAAGAGAAAGAAAUUCGAUUCCGUAAGUAGCGGCGAGCGAACGCGGAUUAGCCCAAACCAAUAAAGUUUUCUUUAUUGGGGUUGCGGACAUAUCAUAACGAAGAGGUAUCGUAAUUGAAGAGGUUUGGAAAGACCCACCACAGAAGGUAAUAGUCCUGUAUGUUAAACGAGAAGACUUCAGAUAUGAUCCAGAGUACCACGGGACACGUGAAACCCUGUGGGAAGCAGGAGGGACCACCCUCCAAGGCUAAAUACUACCUAGUGACCGAUAGCGUAUAGUACCGUGAGGGAAAGGUGAAAAGAACCCCG
rnacentral:rRNA from 1 species